GGAGAGGUGCCCGGAGUGGUUUAUCGGGGACCAGAGCACGGUCGGGUUUUGCCCACGCAGGUUCGAAUCCUGCCCUCUCCG
rnacentral:tRNA from 2 species